rnacentral:rRNA from 1 species
GAUGAACGCUGGCGGCGUGCCUAAUACAUGCAAGUCGAGCGAACAGACGAGGAGCUUGCUCCUCUGACGUUAGCGGCGGACGGGUGAGUAACACGUGGAUAACCUACCUAUAAGACUGGGAUAACUUCGGGAAACCGGAGCUAAUACCGGAUAACAUGUUGAACCGCAGGGUUCAACAGUGAAAGACGGUCUUGCUGGCACUUAUAGAUGGAUCCGCGCCGCAUUAGCUAGUUGGUAAGGUAACGGCUUACCAAGGCAACGAUGCGUAGCCGACCUGAGAGGGUGAUCGGCCACACUGGAACUGAGACACGGUCCAGACUCCUACGGGAGGCAGCAGUAGGGAAUCUUCCGCAAUGGGCGAAAUCCUGACGGAGCAACGCCGCGUGAGUGAAGAAGGUCUUCGGAUCGUAAAACUCUGUUAUUAGGGAAGAACAAAUGUGUAAGUAACUAUGCACGUCUUGACGGUACCUAAUCAGAAAGCCACGGCUAACUACGUG